UUGGGUUAAGUCCCGCAACGAGCGCAACCCUUAUCCUUGUUUGCCAGCGAGUAAUGUCGGGAACUCCAGGGAGACUGCCGGUGAUAAACCGGAGGAAGGUGGGGACGACGUCAAGUCAUCAUGGCCCUUACGAGUAGGGCUACACACGUGCUACAAUGGCGCAUACAGAGGGCGGCCAACUUGCGAAAGUGAGCGAAUCCCAAAAAGUGCGUCGUAGUCCGGAUUGGAGUCUGCAACUCGACUCCAUGAAGUCGGAAUCGCUAGUAAUCGUGGAUCAGAAUGCCACGGUGAAUACGUUCCCGGGCCUUGUACACACCGCCCGU
rnacentral:rRNA from 1 species